AAGUCGUAACAAGGUAACCGUAGGUGAACCUGCGGUUGGAUCAUUACAAAAUGUGUCUGCAGUUCUUACCGCCGUGCGAGUAAUCGUGUCGAGCUGGUUUGAAUUUGCUACCAACCUUUGUGCACUGAAAAUCGUAUCUGGGUCGUGCUGUUUGCCUUCCCAACCAUAUAAACCAUUCCUUCUAUUUUUUUGUCUGACUUUUGUAUUCUAACGAAUCAAAUACAACUUUUAACAACGGAUCUCUUGGCUCUC
rnacentral:misc_RNA from 1 species